rnacentral:misc_RNA from 1 species
AUUUAUUUAUUUAUUUUUUAUUUCUUUUUGGUGAAUAUAAGUUUGUGAUUUUAGAUGAGUUGGAAUUUGACUGUUUAUUCAUUUUAGUUUGAUGUUCUUGACCAUUGUUUCUGAAGCUGUAAAUGAGCUGAUAUUGAUAUUUUAUAUUUUGGGGCUUCAGACUGAUGGCAUUUAUGGGUUAGCUAAGAAAGAAGGAGGCAGUGCUAGGUGGUGAUGAGUUCAAUGUGGUAACAGUGCGGUUGGGAUUUGUGGUUGAUCAUUAUGAUGUUGGUAUCAUGGAGUGGCGGUAGUGUGCAGUGUGAAAGAAGAAAAUUGGAAUGGGUGAUGGUGGAGGGGGAGGAAGGUGGCUGAAUUAAGGUGUUGACUGUUGAGGCAGUGUAAGCAAGGAAGGAGAUAGUUGUCAGGUGGAGGGAGGUUGUUGUUCAUGGCUCUUAGAGAGAGAGAGAGAGAGA